rnacentral:tRNA from 1 species
UUAGUGAUAAGUUAAAGAAACUGUGUGGUUCAUGCCCAGAUAAUGAAAGAUUAAGUAAAAAAAUAAAUUUUCUUACUAUA